UUGUCCCAGUUUAACCCAGUCCCAGGAUCCCAGUUUGGCCCAGUUUAACCCAGUCCCAGGAUCCCAGUUUGGCCCAGUUUAACCCAGUCCCAGGAUCCCAGUUUGUCCCAGUUUAACCCAGUCCCGGGAUCCCAGUUUGGCCCAGUUUAACCCAGUCCCAGGAUCCCAGUUUGGCCCAGUUUAACCCAGUCCCAGGAUCCCAGUUUGGCCCAGUUUGGCCCAGUCCCAGGAUCCCAGUUUGGCCCAGUUUAACCCAGUCCCAGGAUCCCAGUUUGGCCCAGUUUAUCCCAGUCCCAGGAUCCCAGUUUGGCCCAUUUUAACCCAGUCCCAGGAUCCCAGUUUGGCCCAGUUUGGCCCAGUUCAUCCCAGUUUGUCCCAGUCCCAGUUUCACUCUCCCAGUUCAUCCCAGAUUAUCCCAGUUUCUCCCAGUUCGUCCCAGUUUGUCCCAGUCCUCAGUUUCCCCCUCUCCCAGUUUGUCCCAGUUGGUCCCAGUUCAUCCCAGUUCUUCCCAGUUUGUCCCAGUCCCCAAUUUCCCCCUCUCCCAGUUUGUCCCAGUUCAUCCCAGUCUGUCCCAGUCCCUCCCUGGUUCCGGUUCCCACGGGGAAAGGGGCGGGGCCAAUUUCCAGUGGGCGUGGCCUGAACCCAAACUGGGAACCCAAACUGGGAACCCAACC